UGCUCCAGGCUGCCUGAUGAUGAAGUGGUUGUUUGUGGAUGAGCAGCUUUUGGGGUCACAGCUGGAGAGACAAAGAUGAGCGAGGACUCCGGGACCACCAACAACUACAAGAAGCAAGCUACAGGAAGGCUUCGCUACCCUGCCCAUUUCCUGCAUUUCCCAGCAUUACGUCAUCUGACUGCCACCCUAGAAGACAUUCUCAUGAGGACCAGGGAUCCCGAAGCCAUCUUCCCACGCGGCAUCACAGAAAAUGCUCAGUGGAUGGAUCACUCCGGGAGCCAACAGAAUCACAAAGAAGAGCCCAUUCCAAAAUGCAGGAAUUUUCAGAGUCCUUUGAAAGACACCUGUGCCUUCAAACCAAGCCCUCUCAUUCUGUG
rnacentral:lncRNA from 1 species